UACAGAGGGGGCCAGCGUUAUUCGGAAUUAUUGGGCGUAAAGGGCGCGUAGGCGGCUUUGCGUGUCUUUCGUGAAAUCCCUCGGCUCAACUGAGGACGUGCGGAAGAAACUGCAGGGCUGGAGUCCGGGAGAGGAGGGUGGAAUUCCCAGUGUAGCGGUGAAAUGCGUAGAUAUGCGGAGGAACACCGAUGGCGAAGGCAGCCUCCUGGGAUAACACUGACGCUCAUGCACGAAAGCGUGGGGAGCAAACAGG
rnacentral:rRNA from 1 species